rnacentral:rRNA from 1 species
UACGUAGGGUGCGAGCGUUGUCCGGAAUUACUGGGCGUAAAGCGUGCGCAGGCGGUUCGUUGUGUCGGUGGUGAAAGCCCCGGGCUCAACCUGGGAAUGGCCAUGGAAACUGGCGAACUGGAGUGCGGCAGAGGGGGGUGGAAUUCCGGGUGGAGCGGUGAAAUGCGUAGAGAUCCGGAGGAACACCGACGGCGAAGGCAAUCCCCUGGGCCUGCACUGACGCUGAGACGCGAAAGCGUGGGGAGCAAACAGG